UAGCCACAGGAUGAAGUGAGCGGGCCUUAAAAAGCCCUGGAAAGUCCCCGAGCCCAUUGCGCAGUGAUGCGCCCACGGAGACGUGGACGGCCCAUGAGCUGGCCUUCCCUGCCUCGGCGGGGGGCUGAGACGAGUGUGGAGCCUAAUUACAGAGGGCUGGCUCUCGGUCAAAUGGCUAAUCUCACAGUUAUUCACUUGGUCCAUGUUAAUGGAUUAACAGAACGGGGCUUACACUCCUGUGGCA
rnacentral:RNase_MRP_RNA from 16 species